rnacentral:snoRNA from 1 species
CUUUCAUGAUGAAGCAAAUUUUUAUUCAGUUCUGCUUCUGCAAACUUAUUGAAGAAAACAAAAUACCUUACCAAACCUUCUGAUUU